rnacentral:rRNA from 1 species
AGUGAACGCUGGCGGUAGGCCUAACACAUGCAAGUCGAACGGCAGCACAGUAAGAGCUUGCUCUUACGGGUGGCGAGUGGCGGACGGGUGAGGAAUACAUCGGAAUCUACUUUUUCGUGGGGGGGAACGUAGGGAAACUUACGCUAAUACCGCAUACGACCUACGUGUGAAAGCAGGGGAUCUUCGGACCUUGCGCGAUUGAAUGAGCCGAUGUCGGAUUAGCUAGUUGGCGGGGUAAAGGCCCACCAAGGCGACGAUCCGUAGCUGGUCUGAGAGGAUGAUCAGCCACACUGGAACUGAGACAAGGUCCAGACUCCUACGGGAGGCAGCAGUGGGGAAUAUUGGACAAUGGGCGCAAGCCUGAUCCAGCCAUACUGCGUGGGUGAAGAAGGCCUUCGGGUUGUAAAGCCCUUUUGUUGGGAAAGAAAAGCAGCAGGUUAAUACCCCGCUGUUAUGACGGUACCCAAAGAAUAAGCACCGGCUAACUUCGUG